UAUAGGAAAUUUAUGUUUCUUCUGCAAUUCUAAAAUUCAUUAUAUAAAAAAUAACUGAACUCCAUCAGUGUGCAAUUGUUUCAGCCAGGAGCUGAGUCAACAAGAAUGUGAACUCUGUGGAGGAAAUGCUAAUUGGUUUGCUAAGAAUGUAAUAAAUGGUUAACCCUAGUUCGAAGGGCUUCGUGAUAAGAUGCUGUGAAGACAGACAGUUAAACUCAAUAUGCCUGAACAAACAAUAGGUAUAAAACAUCUGUUUCCCACUUUUACACAGGAACAAAACCAUUUAGAAGGGCUUAGUGACAGGAUGCUGGAAAGAGGCAGGAUGAGGGGCAAAUAGCCUGACAUCAGGAAUGAGCAUGUUUUCCACAGAUAAGACUGGAUAAGACAUGAGAUAAGCAGGAGGGUCUCAGGGAAGUGGAGGAUGUGAACAAGGGGGGAAACAAUGAAAUAAGAAAAAAAAAAUAGGAACCAAAUUGUAUAAAUAUCGAGUAUUUGUUGAAUUUGGGGUGUGUUUUGUCCCUGCCUUGUGGACAUCACACCCACUUGCAAGUGUGAAAUAAAGAGCUCUGCUGAUUCAGAUCUUGUCUCGAACUGAAAUUAUUGCAGUGUGUGAGCUUUGUUUCUCACAAUUGGCGCCCAACGUGGGGCAGUCCGGGAAGUUCUUCCAUCGCCGGGGGGGAGUGGCUGGCCCUGGAUACUGGGAAGACGCGUCCCGUUCCCCAUUGAGGAGCGGUCUCGUGUCCCGGUUCGGUCCGCUCCCUUGGGCGACUGGUACGAAUCCCACAAGAGAGACAUCUGCAUCUGACAGUGACAGGCAGUUGAUAGAAUAUACGGCGGAAAAGUGGCCAGGCAACUCUGUGCACAGACCAAGGAAACAGGGUUUAUUGGCACAGACUCUACCCCUAGAAUUCACCGUUCAUCCCAUCCAGCCGGGAGAUUGGGUCUGAGUAAAAUCAUGGACAGAGACUAAAUUGCAGCCGGACUGGGAAGGGCCGUACCAGGCUCUUUUAACGACUAAAAUGGCAAUAAGGACGACGGAGAAAGGCUGGACUCACUACACUCGGAUCAAAGGGCCAGUGGAAUCUCCAGUUGAGGAAGAAGUCUGGACAGCCGAAUCAAUGCAAGACCCGCUAAAACUCAGACUAAAGAGACUUUGAGUAACUGAUUAUACAGUGGCGACGCGAGCGCGGGAUUAUUUCUGUAGGAUUGUAUAUUGAGUCAUUCUGUGCUUCAGUAUGAUGUUUAAAGUACUGGGAAUGCUUAGAGUUAUGAUGCUAGCCCUAUUAGUAUUGGGAUUUUGUCAAAUAUCCUUUUCAUAUGUAUUAUAAAUGGUUCCUGAGUCUGAUAAUCCACAAGUAAUAGACGCUGAUGCAUGCAGCUUAGUCAAUUGUGGGGAUGUAGAUAUUCAGAGACAGUACCACAGUUCAGAGAUACAUCUUAAGUCCUAUGGGGAUGGCCUUGGGGAUGGUACUUGGUGUAAUAGGGAUAGAAAUGAAAGCACAUGGGAAACACUUCGUGGGCUGUUGUUUUCGAACAAGCGUAGGACAGGGAAAACGGGCGGAAUUACUGGAUAAUGAGAUACAACCUUUCACCCCUCCCACUGAUCCUAAAGUAGUAAAAAUUAUAGAGGUAAAGGACUUGAAACAGACUCUCGAAAUAGAAACUGGGUACAGGGAUGCAAAUGCCUGGGUUGAAUGGGUAAAGUAUACUGUAAAAAGUCUGAACAAAAGCAAUUGCUAUGCAUGUACCUCCGGUAGGCCAGUGGCCCAGAUGGUUCCCUUUCCGCUCGGGUGGAAGCGAGACAGGCAGGGCAUGAAAUGUAUGCUAGCCCUGUAUCAGGAUGAGACUGCAUGGAAUGAGAAUGAUACGAAUUGUUCCUCCCUAUCUCUGAUGUUCCCUCCCUUGGAGAAGAAAGAUGUACAAGUUUCCCCCGCAUUUUCUGCCGCAGUUGGAAACCACACUUCGUGUGUGCAUAGACGAGGUACAAGUCGGUAUAGAGAUUUGGGGGAGCUGAAAUUGUGUACAGAGAUUAAAAAUGUUACCAAAACGAAGAAAGGAGGAACUACUCAGCACUAAAGGUUCCCCAAACAGAUCUGUGAUGGUACUGUGGAGGCAAAAUAUUGAGACCCAUCUUACCUCCGGAUUGGAGAGGGAUAUGUGCAAUUGUACAAUUGGCAAUUCCAUUUACCCUGGCAUUUGAGAAGGAAAAGAUAGUAGGGAAACAGGGAAGAGAUAAGAGAUCACUGUUAGACACUUCUUUCGAUGACAGGAUUUAUCUUGAUUCGAUAGGAGUCCCGAGGGGGGGUACCUGAUGAGUUCAAGGCUCGUAACCAGAUUGCGGCAGGCUUUGUGUCAGCUCUCAUUUGGUGGGUAACAAUUAAUAAAAAUGUAGAUUGGCUAAAUUACAUUUUCUAUAAUCAACAGCGAUUUAUAAAUUAUACAAGAGAUGCAGUUAAAGAAAUAUCAGAUCAGCUUGAUGCGACAAGUAGGAUGGCAUGGGAGAACAGAAUGGCCCUUGAUAUGAUUCUAGCAGAACAAAGGGGGUGUGUGUGUGAUGUUAGGAGGAAGCUGUUGUACCUUUAUUCCUAACAACACUGCACCUGAUGGUUCAAUUACUCGAGCCUUAAGGGGGUUAACAACCUUAGCAGAGGAACUGGCUGAGAAUUCAGGAGUAGACACAUCUCUCACGGGAUGGCUUGAAUCCUGGUUCGGAAGAUGGAAGGGGGUGGUAGUUUCCAUCCUUACUUCCCUGAUAGUAGUAGUCGGGGUAUUGGUGGCCAUUGGCUGUUGUAUCAUACCCUGUAUACAUGGGCUCACCCAGAGACUGAUUGAGACAACCUUAAUGAAACAGAUGCCCUUAAAAGGAAAUCUGACAAAAGAACUUUAUCAACUAAAUAUUGAGGAGAUGAGUGAGACCAAAAUGGAAGAAAUUUCCUAAAUGAUGCUUGCGAAUUUCGGGAGCAAUGCUUAAAAGAACAAAAUGCAGAAGGUAACAAAUGGUAAAGAAAGAAAAAGGGGCAAUUGUGGGAUAUAGGAAAUUUAUGUUUCUUCUGCAAUUCUAAAAUUCAUUAUAUAAAAAAUAACUGAACUCCAUCAGUGUGCAAUUGUUUCAGCCAGGAGCUGAGUCAACAAGAAUGUGAACUCUGUGGAGGAAAUGCUAAUUGGUUUGCUAAGAAUGUAAUAAAUGGUUAACCCUAGUUCGAAGGGCUUCGUGAUAAGAUGCUGUGAAGACAGACAGUUAAACUCAAUAUGCCUGAACAAACAAUAGGUAUAAAACAUCUGUUUCCCACUUUUACACAGGAACAAAACCAUUUAGAAGGGCUUAGUGACAGGAUGCUGUAAAGAGGCAGGAUGAGGGGCAAAUAGCCUGACAUCAGGAAUGAGCAUGUUUUCCACAGAUAAGACUGGAUAAGACAUGAGAUAAGCAGGAGCGUCUCAGGGAAGUGGAGGAUGUGAACAAGGGGGGAAACAAUGAAAUAAGAAAAAAAAUAUAGGAACCAAAUUGUAUAAAUAUCGAGUAUUUGUUGAAUUUGGGGUGUGUUUUGUCCCUGCCUUGUGGACAUCACACCCACUUGCAAGUGUGAAAUAAAGAGCUCUGCUGAUUCA